CAGCUGUUUCAACAAGUUAGUGUGGCUGGUUCUUGCUGUUGAUGCUGCUUCGGCUUCUCUGGUGUAAGUGAUAAGAUGUUGGCCACGCAGCUUUAUAGGUUCACCGUCCCGUUGUAGCGUGUAGUUCAGGUUUUCAGGUUUUAUAGGUUGGACUCAAAAUGUAAAAUAUGUACAAAAGGUACAUUUGCAACUGGUUAUGAAAUGUAGAAGUAAUGUCCAACUUCUGCUUUCUGAUA